rnacentral:rRNA from 1 species
GGAGACAGCCAGUAUGACGGUCAGGUUGACGACCUUACCUAACGAGCUGAGAGGAGGUGCAUGGCCGUCGCCAGUUCGUGCCGUGAGGUAUCCUGUUAAGUCAGGCAACGAACGAGAUCCGCACCUUUAUUUGCCAACAAGAAGUCACGACUUCGUUGGGAACACUAAAGGGACCGCCGUCGAUAAGACGGAGGAAGGAGCGGGCAAAGGCAGGUCAGUAUGCCCCGAAACCCCUGGGCUACACGCGGGCUGCAAUGGUAUGAACAAUGGGCUGUGACUCCGAAAGGAGAAACCAAUCCCGAAAUCAUAUCUCAGUUGGAAUUGUCGGCUGUAACCCGCCGACAUGAACGCGGAAUCCCUAGUAAUCGUGUGUCAUCAACGCACGGUGAAUACGUCUCUGCUCCUUGCACACACCGCCCGU